rnacentral:rRNA from 1 species
GCGGACCGAAGGAGAGCUUGCUCCCGGAUGUUAGCGGCGGACGGGUGAGUAACACGUGGGUAACCUGCCUGUAAGACUGGGAUAACUCCGGGAAACCGGAGCUAAUACCGGAUAGUUCCUUGAACCGCAUGGUUCAAGGAUGAAAGACGGUUUCGGCUGUCACUUACAGAUGGACCCGCGGCGCAUUAGCUAGUUGGUGGGGUAAUGGCUCACCAAGGCGACGAUGCGUAGCCGACCUGAGAGGGUGAUCGGCCACACUGGGACUGAGACACGGCCCAGACUCCUACGGGAGGCAGCAGUAGGGAAUCUUCCGCAAUGGACGAAAGUCUGACGAGCAACGCCGCGUGAGUGAUGAAGGUUUUCGGAUCGUAAAGCUCUGUUGUUAGGGAAGAACAAGUGCGAGAGUAACUGCUCGCACCUUGACGGUACCUAACCAGAAAGCCACGGCUAACUACGUGCCAGCAGCCGCGGUAAUACGUAGGUGGCAAGCGUUGUCCGGAAUUAUUGGGCGUAAAGGGCUCGCAGGCGGUUUCUUAAGUCUGAUGUGAAAGCCCCCGGCUCAACCGGGGAGGGUCAUUGGAAACUGGGAAACUUGAGUGCAGAAGAGGAGAGUGGAAUUCCACGUGUAGCGGUGAAAUGCGUAGAGAUGUGGAGGAACACCAGUGGCGAAGGCGACUCUCUGGUCUGUAACUGACGCUGAGGAGCGAAAGCGUGGGGA